CCACAAUUGACAAACACUCAUUUAUAAAUAAACCCCCAAUUUCAUCCUCAAAAAUCUCAACCUGAUAAUUCAUCUUUUCAUUUCAAUUUCUGCUGAAUAAUAACUCAUUCUUGAUCAGACAUGGCUCGUACCAAGCAAACUGCUCGCAAAUCCACCGGCGGUAAGGCACCACGGAAGCAGCUAGCUACCAAGGCAGCCCGCAAAUCAGCCCCUGCUACUGGUGGAGUCAAGAAGCCUCACCGCUUCCGCCCCGGGACAGUCGCUCUCCGUGAAAUUCGCAAGUACCAGAAAUCUACUGAGCUUCUCAUCCGCAAACUGCCCUUCCAGAGGUUGGUCCGUGAAAUUGCGCAGGACUUUAAGACUGAUCUGAGAUUCCAGAGCUCAGCUGUGGCGGCACUCCAAGAGGCUGCCGAGGCUUACCUGGUUGGGCUUUUUGAGGAUACUAAUUUAUGUGCCAUUCAUGCUAAGAGGGUUACUAUUAUGCCUAAGGAUAUUCAGUUGGCCAGGAGGAUUCGGGGUGAAAGGGCAUAGUUUCAAUUCUUGCUUGCUUGGAAGGGUUGUUUAGUUUUUGUAGACUUGUAUUGAUUAUGAAGGAUUUGUGAUUCUAUCCUCUUAUGUUCACCUUCUCAAUGAAAUUUGAGCUUUACUGUUAUAAUCCCAUUUGCAUUCUUAUUCGAGUUUGAGUAAUCUUUGUUCAGAAAACAAAAUUAAUUUGAGUUUCGCUUUACAGGAGUUAUUAGCCCCCGACCCGGGGUUAUCUUUGCUUGCAUCCUCAAGUGACCUGGCCCAAAUGGUUCACUGACGGGGCUUGCCUUGAAUAAAAGGGAUCAGCGUUUGGACCAUGAAGCACUAUAGUAGUAAUAACUCUUCUUUAUAUAUAGCUAUAACCUCAUUGUUCAUUUUCUUCUGUACUCUACCUGCAGCAACUAAGACCAAGCAGUUAUAUUUACAUUAGUGAAAUUGGCACUUCUUUCCAGCUCCAUAUGGCCAUAUCUAUGCCGAGGGUGUUUAAUAUUUGUUAUGGCCCAAGGUAUUCUAUCCAACCAAAAAACUCCUCCUAAAGCUCCAUAUAGGAGAAUGGCCGCUGUAGCACAGGCUUGUUACCC
rnacentral:lncRNA from 1 species